rnacentral:rRNA from 1 species
AGCUCCAAUAGCGUAUAUUAAAGUUGUUGCAGUUAAAAAGCUCGUAGUUGGAUUUCUGGCAGGAGCGACCGGUCCGCCGCAAGGUGUGCACUAGGUUGUCUCCAGUCAUCUUUGUGGGAACUGCUCUGGCAUUAGGUUGUCGGGGUUAGGGAACACAUCGUUUACUGUGAAAAAAUUAGAGUGUUUAAAGCAGGCUUAUGCCGUUGAAUACAUUAGCAUGGAAUAAUAAGAUAGGACUUUGGUGGUCUAUUUUGUUGGUUUGCACACCAAGGUAAUGAUUAAUAGGGAUAGUUGGGGGUAUUCGUAUUUAAUUGUCAGAGGUGAAAUUCUUGGAUUUAUGAAAGACGAACUACUGCGAAAGCAUUUACCAAAGAUGUUUUCAUUA